UACGUAGGGUGCGAGCGUUGUCCGGAAUUACUGGGCGUAAAGGGUGCGUAGGUGGUUUCUUAAGUCAGAGGUGAAAGGCUACGGCUCAACCGUAGUAAGCCUUUGAAACUGGGAAACUUGAGUGCAGGAGAGGAGAGUGGAAUUCCUAGUGUAGCGGUGAAAUGCGUAGAUAUUAGGAGGAACACCAGUUGCGAAGGCGGCUCUCUGGACUGUAACUGACACUGAGGCACGAAAGCGUGGGGAGCAAACAGGAUUAGAUACCCUGGUAGUCCCUGA
rnacentral:rRNA from 1 species